rnacentral:tRNA from 1 species
GAGGGUAUAGUUCAGUGGUAGAGCACAUGGUUAGCAUGCAUGAGGUCCUGGGUUCAAUCCCCUAUACCUCCU